rnacentral:ncRNA from 1 species
UGAUAGCGAUGAAACGUGAGGUUGCUGCCUGGAAAUGGCAGGUUUUUCCGCGGAGCGAAUGUCAAGUUAGGAAACUGGCGACAA